UACAGAGGUCUCAAGCGUUUGUUCGGAUUCAUUGGGCGUAAAGGGUGCGUAGGUGGGCCUGUAAGUCAGCGGUGAAAUCUCCGGGCUUAACCCGGAAACUGCCAUUGAUACUAUAGGUCUUGAAUUAUCUGGAGGUGAGCGGAAUAUGUCAUGUAGCGGUGAAAUGCUUAGAUAUGACAUAGAACACCAAUUGCGAAGGCAGCUCACUACGGAUCGAUUGACACUGAGGCACGAAAGCGUGGGGAUCAAACAGG
rnacentral:rRNA from 1 species